UCCAGACUCCUACGGGAGGCAGCAGUGGGGGAUAUUGCACAAUGGGGGGAACCCUGAUGCAGCGACGCCGCGUGGGUGAAGGAGCGUUUCGGCGCGUAAAGCCCUCUCGGCAGGGAAGAAGGAGGACGGUACCUGACUAAGAAGCCCCGGCUAACUACGUGCCAGCAGCCGCGGUAAUACGUAGGGGGCAAGCGUUAUCCGGAUUUACUGGGUGUAAAGGGGGCGCAGACGGCAGCGCAAGCCAGGAGUGAAAGCCCGGGGCCCAACCCCGGGACUGCUCUUGGAACUGCGCGGCUGGAGUGCAGGAGGGGCAGGCGGAAUUCCUGGUGUAGCGGUGAAAUGCGUAGAUAUCAGGAGGAACACCGGUGGCGAAGGCGGCCUGCUGGACUGCGACUGACGUUGAGGCCCGAAAGCGUGGGGAGCAAACAGGAUUAGAUACCCCCGUACUG
rnacentral:rRNA from 1 species